ensembl:lncRNA novel transcript
CAGGGCACAACCAUCAGACGAAGUGGGAGGAAGAAACAUUAACUUCAACAGCUGUUUCUUGACCCCGGCUGUCAGUCUUCCCAAGAAUAAAUUUUGGAGAGUCCUAUUUGAAACAAAGAGGGAGUUUUGGGGGAGAGAAAAGUUGGUUGGUUCCAGGGCGACCGCCCAAAGAAGCAGGGAACAAGAUGUUUGCAGUUACCACGCAGCCUGCAAGCCUCUGCCGGGUGCAGGGAUGGAGCAAAGUAACUUGAAAGCUCCCCUCUCGGCGCCCUGUGCCUGCAGCUUCCCCCCCUAACGCGCGCCCAGAUCCAGCGCCGGUGGUAGGAGCCGUAGCUCGACUACAGUAAUUCCCCAGCUCGGGCGGCUUGAAACUGCUCGGGCUGAAUAGCAUUUGCUGUUCCGUCCUGCGGCCGCCUCCCGCCGCGGCUGCCGCGCUCCCUGCAAAGCAGCUCUCAUUAUCCCGGAAGUUGUGCUGACACAGUCUCGCUGCCACCAGAAGUUUGUCAACAUCAAACUUCUCCUGUGUGGGGUACGUUCACCUUCCACGAGUAUUUAAUCGAGCCAACAAGCAAACAAACAAACCCAAAUAAACCUGCCCGUG